AGUACAAUCACAAGCCACAGACUAUUUGUUGUACUUUGUGACCUAAUCUCUUCUUCUUACUUUUCUCUCCUCUCACAAAAAUAUAAACCAAUUAAUAGAUCUAAAUUGUCAAUCGAUCUCUUGUUAAAUCUAUGUUUAUCUUCGAUCAAAAAUCAAGAAGAAUACACGAAUUUUGGCAUCAACAAUUUUGAAACAUAAACACCGAUCCUAUUCAGAGGUUUACAUUUUGUUCACCUCCAUUAAAGUUUUGAUAUUUGGCCUCCAUAAUGGUAGAAAAUUGGUGUCCCUAUGCUGUUGGACAUCUCCCAGUUUUGGCACCUUUGCACUGUAAGUCUUGCAUACCCAUGGCUGUGUCAUGUCUCCUUGACACAUUACCAAACGUUAGGCAUCGCCAAUAAAUCAUUGUUACACUUGAUAAUCUCAAUCUUCAAUGGAGAAAUUGAAUACAGCGUACACAAUGCUAUGUUAAUCUGAUUAAUCAUAUUACUUCAGUAGGCAAACUAGGAUUAUGAUUAAAUAUUACUUCAUCUUAAACAUGAUUGAAUACAGCGUA